rnacentral:rRNA from 1 species
AGAUUGAACGCUAGCGGGAUGCUUUACACAUGCAAGUCGAACGGCAGCGCGGACUUCGGUCUGGCGGCGAGUGGCGAACGGGUGAGUAAUAUAUCGGAACGUGCCCAGUAGCGGGGGAUAACUACGCGAAAGCGUGGCUAAUACCGCAUACGCCCUACGGGGGAAAGGGGGGGAGUUCUUCGGAACCUCUCACUAUUGGAGCGGCCGAUAUCAGAUUAGCUAGUUGGUGAGGUAAAGGCUCACCAAGGCCGCGAUCUGUAGCUGGUUUGAGAGGACGACCAGCCACACUGGGACUGAGACACGGCCCAGACUCCUACGGGAG